rnacentral:rRNA from 1 species
UACGAAGGGGCUAGCGUUGUUCGGAAUUACUGGGCGUAAAGGGCGCGUAGGCGGUGAUCUUUGUCAGAGGUGAAAGCCCGGGGCUCAACUCCGGAAUUGCCUUUGAAACGGGAUUGCUUGAGUCCGAGAGAGGAUGGCGGAAUUCCUAGUGUAGAGGUGAAAUUCGAUAGAUAUUAGGAAGAACACCGGUGGCGAAGGCGGCUCUCUGGACCGUAACUGACGCUGAGGCGCGAAAGCGUGGGGAGCAAACAGG